GACGAACGCUGGCGGCGUGCUUAACACAUGCAAGUCGAACGGAAAGGCCCUGCUUUUGUGGGGUGCUCGAGUGGCGAACGGGUGAGUAACACGUGAGUAACCUGCCCUUGAAUUUGGGAUAACUUCAGGAAACUGGGGCUAAUACCGGAUAGGAGCUCCUGCUGCAUGGUGGGGGUUGGAAAGUUUCGGCGGUUGGGGAUGGACUCGCGGCUUAUCAGCUUGUUGGUGGGGUAGUGGCUGACCAAGGCUUUGACGGGUAGCCGGCCUGAGAGGGUGACCGGCCACAUGGGGACUGAGAUACGGCCCAGACUCCUACGGGAGGCAGCAGUGGGGAAUAUUGCACAAUGGGCGGAAGCCUGAUGCAGCAACGCCGCGUGCGGGAUGACGGCCUUCGGGUUGUAAACCGCUUUCGCCUGUGACGAAGCGUGAGUGACGGUAAUGGGUAAAGAAGCACCGGCUAACUACGUG
rnacentral:rRNA from 1 species